rnacentral:rRNA from 1 species
GGACGACGCUGGCGGCGUGCUUAAACACAUGCAAGUGGAGCGACGAACCGGGGCUUGCCCCGGGGCAGAGCCGCGAACGGGUGAGUAACACGUGGGUAACCUGCCUCAAUGAUUGGGACAACCCGGGGAAACUCGGGCUAAUACCAAAUGUGUUCACUCCUUCCAAGGGGAGUGAGGAAAGGAAGCUUCGGCCUCCGCAUUGAGAUGGGCCCGCGGCCCAUUAGCUUGUUGGUGAGGUAACGGCUCACCAAGGCUUCGAUGGGUAGCUGGUCUGAGAGGACGAUCAGCCACACUGGGACUGAGACACGGCCCAGACUCCUACGGGAGGCAGCAGUGGGGAAUCUUGCACAAUGCGCGAAAGCGUGAUGCAGCAACGCCGCGUGGGGAAGACGGCCUUCGGGUUGUAAACCCCUUUCAGUUGGGACGAAGCUUCGUCGGUGAAUAGCCGGUUGGAGUGACGGUACCUUCAGAAGAAGCCCCGGCUAACUACGUG